rnacentral:rRNA from 1 species
CAGUCGCCGCGGUAAUACGUAGGGUGCGAGCGUUAAUCGGAAUUACUGGGCGUAAAGCGUGCGCAGGCGGUUGUGUAAGUCAGGUGUGAAAUCCCCGGGCUUAACCUGGGAACUGCGCUUGUGACUGCACAGCUAGAGUAUGGCAGAGGGGGGUGGAAUUCCACGUGUAGCAGUGAAAUGCGUAGAGAUGUGGAGGAACACCGAUGGCGAAGGCAGCCCCCUGGGCCAAUACUGACGCUCAUGCACGAAAGCGUGGGGAGCAAACAGGAUUAGAUACCCGCGUAGUCCCUGUCUCUUAUAC